CCUUGAUUAAAUUCAUUAGUUAAUGAAAUUUACCAGUCAUGCUUCUAUGUCAGUGAUUCUCAAACUUGAGGGCACACUGGCACCACCUGGAGUGAUUGUUAAGACAGAUUCCAAGUCCCCACUCCCAGCCUUCUUUAUUCACUGGGUCUGGAGUGGGUCUUGGGAAUUUGCCCCAGAUCCCAGCUGAUGCUGAAGCUGAGGGUCUGGAGUUCACACUGCAUUUAGUUAAUGGAUCUGUCUGAUAAUUAAAAUCAGGUUCAUUAAGAAAUAGAUUUAAUUAGGUCUCCCAAACUGCUAAUUUGAUCUAGACCCUAGAUAAUAGGUUUUGUUUAAUAGGCUUAUUAAACUCAUCAAAUUAAAACUGACCCCUUUAAAAAAAAAUUGACCCCAUCCUUCAAGCCCUUCCUUCCUUUUUACUGGUUCUUUAAAUUUGAUCUCUUCAGGAAGGUGGCUGAGAAGAAAACAAUUCUGGGAUGGAAGCUGGGGAAUGACCCUCCGAGCAGGUGACAUGAAGGGAACUGUGAACUGGGGCAUCUAUAUCCAGCCUCCUCCCUCCUCCCAGCCCCACACCCCUCAGGGUCCUAGAAGAAAGCCUUGUCACCUGGAUGGACUGUGAUAAAGACGAGCAACAGAAUCCGGGCCAUGUCAGAGGGCGUUCCUGUUGACAAGGGGAACCUGAGCAGUGAGGCACUGAGACCACUGGACCAUCCAGCUGCAGGGUUGCAGCUUUCUCUUCAGGGAGGAGGCAGCUGCAAUAAAGAGAAGUCAAGAGGUCAGAGUCCACUCCAGCAUCUCCCCCAACCUGCAUGGGUCAGGGAGAGGGCAGUGAGAAGUAAAACCUCGCAGCUGCAGAAGGGGAAAUAGCUUGUGGGAGGAGAGGAGAAGGAAAGGUGUGUCCAUCUGGGGCAGAUUGGCUGGAGUUCAUAGAAGGGAGUUUAGACAAAAGUGUCUCAGUGAGGGGGAUGCUCCGUCUUUGCCUCCCCUAGAAGCCAUUAGCCAAAACGAGCAGCAAAGGGGAUAAAGGUGUCCCUUGGGUCUACCAAUCCGGUCUCUCUCAGUAUCAUGUUGCUCCAAAGAAUCUACUUAAAUUCUUGAAUUCCUGAGCAAUGUUGAUUUUACUGAAAAUUUCCAAGGAGAUAAGAGGAUUACACUGCACAUCCAGAAACAAAUUAAGGUUCCUUUGUUAGUUCCGUAUUUCUAAGUGCCUCUCUGGAGCUGCCAGGCUAGAAGAGAAGUUUCUCUUCCUUUCCAGACCCUGCACCCCAUCUCACCACCCUCCCAAAUCUGUCAGCAGACUUCAGGUUCUCCUGCCAUUCACAGAGCAGAAAACCUCAGUCAGCCUUUCCUCCGCUCCCUAUCCAAACCUGCGUGCCCAGACUUGUGAAACCCGAGCCUUAGAGUUACCUGAACGUCCAGACCUGUUCAAAGACCGUUUGUUCCUGAGAAUAAAUGUCCCUGGGGACUUACCGACCUUCCCCCACACCUCUGGUGGCUUCUCAAAAUAUUUCUUUCAUGCACACACUGGGCUCCCCUUAAGAGGAAUUUAGGAGAAUGUUAUUUUCUCAUCUCUUUUCUACACCCAGCUCCUCCUUCU
ensembl:lncRNA